AUGCCUGUUUUAAAAAAUGUAUUAUGUAGUCACUGUAACAAUGACAAGGACAAGCAUGAGGCAAAAUUACAGUAGACUCUAAAUCCUGCCAUUUGUAUGAACUUAUUAACAAUCUGAUGUCUUUCCUCUAAGAUCCUUUUACUCCUAUUAUUUGGAAAUAAAAAUAGUCCUUACUUAAUUUAACGCAUAAGCACAUAUAAACAUAAAUGUAUGAAGGAACAUGCUGGUUCUCAAUUGGGAGUGCUUUUCUUCCUCAGGGGACAACUUACUGAUAAUCACAUAAAAUCUUUAGUUAAUUAACUAAUGAGUACAAGAACAAUGCCAUGGCCAGCACUCAUUAUUAGCUUUAUCCUGAGGUCCUUAAAUGGGGAAGCCAAAAAGUAGCCUUAGAAUCCAGAGGCUCUCAAAGCUCAUCAUAGUCUAUUUUGGGUGGCAGGUCCUGAAAUUUCAUCUGUGGCUGGAAUGCCCAGGAACAACUGCAAGGAGAGUGAGGCCAGCCCAGGCCCAUGCAUUUCAGGCAACAAUCUGGAAGCAAACACACAGUGUGGCCUGGCUUCUCUACACCAGACCACUGUCCCCUGAGUGAGGUGGGCUCAGGGCUUCUCAGCUCUGACUCUAUAUCCAAAACAUUGGGAGAUUUGCCAGAAACACCCAAGAUUGGGCUCCACAGGAGAGAUUUAGCUCCUUGCGAGUUGGAGACAGGGAGGCUGGCAAUGGGCUUUCUUAAAAUUCCCUGUCCUAUUCUGGUAUGCAGCCUCAUGGAGUCCCCCCAGCAUAAGUGAUUUGUCAGUUCUGAGUCUGAUUCUAAAGGCUUUUCUCUAAUAAGCCCCAGACUCCAACAUGAAUGCUCCAUGGACAAGCCCAUUCAUUUUACCUGUCACACACAGCAUCUCCAGCCAAUGUCAAGAUGUGAUUCCACAACAGCCUGCAUUAGGUGUUUUCUGGACACUGACUCUCUGGUGACCUCCCAGAACUACUGUGUCAGAGUCUGUACCCAUGUGACUCAAGUGUGUUUUGCAAACGUACUCUCCAGGUGACUCUGGGGUAUAGCCAAGAGGGAGGACCACACUCCUAGACUAAAAGAAGUUUCUGGAAGAUGCUAAAGACUAGACGAGAAAAAGCAUAAACUCUACAGCAUACUACUUGUGCUCAGCACUGGGACAUGUCAAUGAAAAAACAAGACAGGUCCCUGCAUCCUAUGUGGAACUGAGGACUGAGCACAGGCCAGCUGGGAUGAGGGUGCUAGCAGACCUGACAAGGUACUGUUACAUCCAGAGUGAAGUCUAAUGACACCCGGGGGGGGGUGGGGUAGGGUGCCUUUCCAGAAAAGACAGGAGGGCUUUGAAAGUGAAAUAGAUUUUGAAUAGUCAGAAAUGUUGUGUUCUAUUAUACUGCACCAGCUCUUCAGUACAAAUAAAUAGCACGGGGUGGGGACAGAAAGUGUGCGAGAGGCCAGCAGGAAUUCAAGCUUAGGGUAUCUGGGCCAGAGCAACAGCCAAGAGUGGGUUCAAUGGAUUUAAUUGCCUGUCUGACUCAAGGGCAGUGCCCCUUCUCGCUCUGGUCAUCAUUCCCUGCUGUGACCACUCACAUGAACGCAUUAUGUAACUUCUCCAAUUUUCUAGUUUCUUAUACACACACAGACUAAGGCAUUUAUUUAGUAGCUACCACUAGACUGCAGCUGAACCAGAGAGAGUCAGGAAUAGUCUCAAAGGAGUUUUGAGGCAUCCAGGCAUCCAGGAAUUCCAGGCUGAUGUGGUACCUGGGGCUCACUGUACUCUGGGAAUUUCUUCUGACCUUAGUGAGCCCACUAUUUAUUUUAUAUUCGUUUAUUUGUUCACUCAUUUACUAUUUGUGUGUGUGUGUGUGUGUGUGUGUGUGUGUGUGUGUGUGUGUGUGUG